GAUGAAGAACGCAGCGAAACGCGAUAUGUAAUGUGAAUUGCAGAAUUCAGUGAAUCAUCGAAUCUUUGAACGCACAUGGCGCCUUCCAGUAUCCUGGGAGGCAUGCCUGUCCGAGCGUCGUUUCAACCCUCGAGCCCCCGUGGCCCGGCGUUGGGGAUCUGCCCAGGCAGUCCCCGAAAACCAGUGGCGGACCCGUUACAGGCCCUUCCCUUGCGUAGUAGCAUUCGCCUCGCAUCGGGAGCCGGCGGGCUUCCAGCCUCUAAACCCCCAUCAAGUCCGCCCCGGCGGCACCAAGGUUGACCUCGGAUCAGGUAGGAAUACCCGCUGAACUUAAGCAUAUCAAUAAGCGGAGA
rnacentral:misc_RNA from 1 species